GAUGAACGCUGGCGGCGUGCCUAAUACAUGCAAGUCGAGCGAACAGACGAGGAGCUUGCUCCUUUGACGUUAGCGGCGGACGGGUGAGUAACACGUGGGUAACCUACCCAUAAGACUGGGAUAACUUCGGGAAACCGGAGCUAAUACCGGAUAAUAUUUCGAACCGCAUGGUUCGAUAGUGAAAGAUGGCUCUGCUAUCACUUAUAGAUGGACCUGCGCCGUAUUAGCUAGUUGGUAAGGUAACGGCUUACCAAGGCAACGAUACGUAGCCGACCUGAGAGGGUGAUCGGCCACACUGGAACUGAGACACGGUCCAGACUCCUACGGGAGGCAGCAGUAGGGAAUCUUCCGCAAUGGGCGAAAGCCUGACGGAGCAACGCCGCGUGAGUGAUGAAGGUCUUCGGAUCGUAAAACUCUGUUAUUAGGGAAGAACAAACGUGUAAGUAACUGUGCACGUCUUGACGGUACCUAAUCAGAAAGCCACGGCUAACUACGUG
rnacentral:rRNA from 1 species